rnacentral:rRNA from 1 species
GACGAACGCUGGCGGCGUGCUUAACACAUGCAAGUCGAACGGGGUUAGUGAAGAGUAAUCGAAGCUAUACCUAGUGGCGGACGGGUGAGUAACGCGUGAACAAUCUGUCCCGGAGUGGGGAAUAACAUCUGGAAACAGAUGCUAAUACCGCAUAAGACCACGGUGCCACAUGGCACUGAGGUAAAAGGAGCAAUUCGCUCCGGGGUGAGUUCGCGUCCCAUUAGCUAGUUGGUGAGGUAACGGCCCACCAAGGCGACGAUGGGUAGCCGAUCUGAGAGGAUGACCGGCCACACUGGAACUGAGAAACGGUCCAGACUCCUACGGGAGGCAGCAGUGGGGAAUAUUGGGCAAUGGGCGCAAGCCUGACCCAGCAACGCCGCGUGAGGGAAGAAGGUUUUCGGAUCGUAAACCUCUGUCGCAGGGGACGAAACAAAUGACGGUACCCUGUGAGGAAGCUCCGGCUAACUACGUGCCAGCCGCCGCAGUAAAAC